AUUGAACGCUGGCGGCAUGCCUUACACAUGCAAGUCGAACGGCAGCGGGGGAGAAGCUUGCUUUUCCUGCCGGCGAGUGGCGAACGGGUGAGUAAUACAUCGGAACGUGCCCUGUAGUGGGGGAUAACUAGUCGAAAGAUUAGCUAAUACCGCAUACGACCUGAGGGUGAAAGUGGGGGACCGCAAGGCCUCAUGCUAUAGGAGCGGCCGAUGUCUGAUUCGCUAGUUGGUGGGGUAAAGGCCUACCAAGGCGACGAUCAGUAGCUGGUCUGAGAGGACGAUCAGCCCCACUAGGACUGAGAAACGGCCCAGACUCCUACGGGAGGCGGCAGUGGGGAAUUUUGGACAAUGGGCGAAAGCCUGAUCCAGCAAUGCCGCGUGUGUGAAGAAGGCCUUCGGGUUGUAAAGCACUUUUGUCCGGAAAGAAAUGGCUCUGGUUAAUACCUGGGGUCGAUGACGGUACCGGAAGAAUAAGGACCGGCUAACUACGUGCCAGCCGCCGCCGUAA
rnacentral:rRNA from 1 species